rnacentral:rRNA from 1 species
AGAACGAACGCUGGCGGCGUGGAUUAGGCAUGCAAGUCGAACGCGAAAGAGGGGGGUAACCCCCUUGAGUAGAGUGGCGAACGGGUGAGUAACGCGUGAAGAACCUGCCUUCAACAGGGGGAUAACACUCCCAACGGGGUGCUAAUACCGCAUAAGACCACGGGUCCGCAUGAACCCGAGGUCAAAGGUGGCCUCUGCUUGCAAGCUACCGGUUGAAGAUGGCUUCGCGUCCCAUUAGCUAGUUGGCGGUGUAAUAGACCACCAAGGCGACGAUGGGUAGCUGGUCUGAGAGGAUGGUCAGCCACACUGGGACUGAGAUACGGCCAGACUCCUACGGGAGGCAGCAGUCGAGAGGCUUUGGCAAGUGGGGAAACCUGACCAAGCGACGCCGCGUGGAGGAUGAAGGCCUUGGGUCGUAAACUUCCGUUUAGGUCGGGAAGAACGACGAUCGAGGUAGAACAAUCGUGGUCGCGUUGACCGGUACCCGGACGAAGUAAGCCGUACCGGACCUAACGUCCGU